rnacentral:rRNA from 1 species
GACGAAGGUGGCGAGCGUUGUUCGGAAUCACUGGGCAUAAAGCGCACGUAGGCGGUGACGUAAGUCGGGUGUGAAAUCCCUCGGCCUAACCGAGGAACUGCGCCCGAUACUGCGUUGCUUGAGGAUCAGAGGGGUGCAUGGAAUUUCCGGUGGAGCGGUGAAAUGCGUUGAUAUCGGAAGGAACUCCGGCGGCGAAAGCGAUGCACUGGCUGAUUUCUGACGCUGAGGUGCGAAAGCCAGGGGAGCAAACGGG